rfam:Hordeum vulgare subsp. vulgare, WGS project CAJW01000000 data, contig: morex_contig_274239
CUGAUACUCCCUCCGUCCGGAAUUAUUUGUAGCACAAAUGUAUAAAAAUGGAUGUAUCUGGAACUAAAAUACAUCUAGAUACAUCCAUUCCUAUGACAAGUAUUUUCGGACGGAGGGAGUAUAUA